UGGGGAAUCUUCCGCAAUGGACGAAAGUCUGACGGAGCAACGCCGCGUGAGUGAAGAAGGUUUUCGGAUCGUAAAACUCUGUCUUUUGGGGCGAACGUGAGUAUGGUGAACAAUCAUAGUCAGUGACGGUACCAAAGGAGGAAGCCACGGCUAACUACGUGCCAGCAGCCGCGGUAAUACGUAGGUGGCAAGCGUUGUCCGGAAUUAUUGGGCGUAAAGAGCGCGUAGGCGGGAUAGUCAGUCUGUUGUAAAGUGCGGGGCUCAACCCCGUGAUCGCAAUGGAAACAGCUAUUCUUGAGUGCAGGAGAGGAAAGUGGAAUUCCCAGUGUAGCGGUGAAAUGCGUAGAUAUUGGGAGGAACACCAGUGGCGAAGGCGACUUUCUGGACUGUGUCUGACGCUGAGGCGCGAAAGCCAGGGGAGCGAACGGGAUUAGAUACCCCGGUAGUCCUGGCCGUAAACGAUGGGUACUGGGUGUGGGAGGUAUCGACCCCUUCCGUGCCGGAGUUAACGCAAUAAGUACCCCGCCUGGGGAGUACGGUCGCAAGACUGAAACUUAAAUGAAUUGA
rnacentral:rRNA from 1 species